UCGCUUCACUUCACACUGUCCUGCGGUGCAGGGCCCUCCCCUCUUGCCGGAGGCAGGUACUGUGUCUUGGUCAUUUUCAUUCAGGAAAUAGAUGUAAGAAGAAAACGGACCAGAGGGGAUAAAACAGAAGGAAGAAUACAAGGUCAUCAGCCCAGUGAUUUCUCGCUGUUUCAAACGUGAUACCUGAGUUUGCUUUGCGGUUUCAAGCCCCCCGUGGAAGCACUCAGCAGCCUCGUGUUCCCGAAGCCCAGAGAAGGGGGUCUGCUCAGAGACUCGAGCGAGGGGCUCUUGCGGAGGGGAACUGACCCCAGGGGAGCAGACGCUAACGCGGUAACAGCCAACACUGGACAGCGCCCUCCUGACGCGCAGCCAUGUUCACGCUGCCCUUGGAGUGACCCUAUGAGCUCCGUUGUGGCAAAGGAGAAAAGUCCACCGCACAAAAACGUGAAUCUAAAGCGUCUGCCGUCUAAGGUGUUACCUGAGAGCGGAAGUUCCGGGAGAGCCAAGCGCUGAGCCGCACCUCUGCCGGCUGGCCGAACGCCGCUGUACGCCGAGUGCCUCUGAAAACCGAAGGGCACAGCAGCACAGGCCCUUGUGUGGAAUGCAAUCGUCUCCAUUUCUUACUGUUGUGCAUGAAACGAAUCUAAGAGUGGUCUGCCGCUCUAGAGCGAAACAGAAACUCCUAAGUAUUCUUCAGAAUCUCAGGUAUCUGUGUUUUCCUGAAUUUCAUUUUGGACUUUCAGUAGAAGCAUAUAUAUGACAGUAAAAACAAACAGAGUAAGAUAGCAAUUUGAACACAAGCUUCUUGAUCUCCAAAUCCCAGCAGUAAGAAUCGGUGUUAAAGUCCUGCAUCAGCACUGGAAGCUACAGAAAGACGUGAUCUCGACCUGCCCGGAGCUUUGAAGACUUUCUGCUGCACAGAGAGUAAGGGGGCGGAAGACUGGCAUGGAAAGUAAAUUCUACAGCUUUAUUCCCGAUUCCCUUUCAGAGGAAAUGAAGAUGUGGGGAAGCUCCUGUGACGGUGCCUGUUUAGCGGGCCCGGCCUAAGAGGUGCACUUGAAGCCCUGAGCACGCAGAGGAUUCUUCCUGCGAGGCCUGGGUGACGUUCACACAGGACUGUCCGAGGAGGCCAGAGAUGGUUCAUCCCAGGUAAAAGGAUAAAGGGGGGCAGAUUAGGAGGAGCCACAGUAUGUCCCUAAAAUGGAUGAUGACCUGGCAAAAGCAGACCAGGAUGCUGGUUCCCACAAUUAGUUUUACCAGAGAAGUAACUGGACAUGUGAACUUCAC